CUGUGUUGGUGUAGUGUACUCAGGUGAUUAUGAUAUUUGUGGUGUUACUCUGAGUGUAUAUCCACACCGGGCGAGCUUGAAAAAUAUGCCCGGCCACGGUGGGAUUCGAACCUACGACCUUUGGAAUACUAGCCCAAUGCUCUUCCAACUGAGCUACGCGGUCAGGACGGUUCGAGUAAGUGAUAUUUCGGAACAGAAUCUAGUUCCUUCGAUACCAAUGUAUUCUAGUAAUAUGAAUUUUUUUUUUUUU